rnacentral:lncRNA from 1 species
UUAUAUGGAUUUUUUUUUAUUAUUCUAUCAAUCCUCGCUCUCAUUUGUUCCUUAUUACAUCUCCGGCCAGAGCGUUUAGUACCAUCACAAAGUCUGCUUCCACGUAGGCGAAAGAAUGUUGCAUGAUGGAGGUAGCUCCAGAUAUACCAGUCAACGCUGAAUCCAGGCCAGUUAGUGCUCCCUUCUCGACAACUAGCAAAUUGGCAUAAACUUUUGAAAUAUUUGACCACAUCAGUUAUAACAGGCUCAUAUGAAUUUAUCACAUCAGCACUGGAUUACAAAACAUCUGAAUUUGAUUCUUGUGCUUUGUUCCACCUUGCGCUGACAAGAAGUGGAUUCAUAGAAGUUCUCUGUUCGCCCUGCUCUGCAUGUACACCCUGAACAAUAAACACAAGCAUUGUCUCCUUGGCAUAUAAGAAUCUGAAUAGGUUGCCAUAAGAACCUUUAACGGGCUAAAUCUUUUCAAGAUGACUUUGUGUUGCUUCUGUUGUAGGUCCCAUGGAAAGGUCUGGCAUUCUGCUUUAACAAGCUGCAAGUGGUAGAGAAUUCAAUCACAGAACAUUGUAUUUUUCGUUGGCAUCCACUAUACACUUGAAUGAGAUCACCAAGAACAUAAACUUUUUUUUUUUUAACAUUCAAUGGCUGCAUUAAUUGCAGUAUUAUGAGUCCUGAGCAAAUUAAAUGUAUUCAUUAUGCUCUGAGCUACUUAUCUUUAUUGGAAUGUGCUACAUUGUAGUAUCCUUAAUUCUUGGGAUGUGAUGAAUUGAAGCACUCCGACCACCUUUGUCUACUUGUUUCCGAUCCCUUAAAAUCUAUACACAUUUGAGAAAAGGUAACUGCUUUUCUACCCUAAUCUUUGUACAGGCUGCUUUAUUUGUAAAAGUCAUCACGAACAAAAGGUUACUGGCCCCGCCCCCUUGGUGACAUUAGAAUUGCCGAUUUUUAGCCAAUCCAAUGCUUUCCCUUGUGGAAAGCAACUGGAUUGGCUAAAUAUCGGCAAGGGGCCAAAACACAGUUUUGGCCAAUCGGCACCUACUCAUAGACAUGCAUUGAAUCAAUGCAUCCCUGUGAGGAAAAUUCAGCGUCCCCAUGCAGAGUGUGGAGACACUGAACGGCACUGCUGACUACUGUUCAGCACCUCCAGUGGCCAGUUGAGGAGUGGCCACUUGGAGGUGUCACUAGUGGCAAUGUGAACACUGCCUUUUAUCUGAAAAGGUAGUGUUUGCAUGAAAAUGCCUGCGUAUAAGGAUUAUACGCGCCAGAAAAACUACAUUAAGCUGUAGUUCUGGUGACUAUAGUGUCCCUUUAACUACAUUUGACUAGACAAUGGGCCAAUAGGUCCAACUUUCGUGAUGAAAAUGGACCUUGUUGGUGUUUAUACACUAAAAAACUAAACUGGAGUGAGAAAAGGAAUGCUCAUAACCAACUUCUCCAAUUUAGCAAUAGUCAAAGCUUGGCUAAUUUUCAAAUCAGAUCUCGAUUACUGAGAGUCUACAGUUAAAAUGCUACUCAAACAUCAGAUGCAGCAAACUUAUCUCUAAUCAGUUAAAGAAAUACAAUUGAAUAAAAAAAAUAUUUGUAUUCAGCAUUACUUAUAAUUAAACGCAUUUGCAAUAUACAUAAUUAAAAAGAACUGCAAUCACUCAUUUUAUUAAUGAGCAAAUAUUUGGAAUAAGAAAUAUCAGUCAAAUGUAAGAUUAACCAAAUCUAUUGUUAGCUGUUCCACAGUUUACCUUAAAAUAGUAUUAAAAAUAAAAAAGAAACAAAGACAAAACCUGCUCUCGUUAUAAAAAGAAAAUAAAACUCACAAAUGAGGCAGUUAAAGAAAAAAAAAAGUGUAUAGAUUUACAAAAUGUGUAUAUUAUUUCAUGUAAACUGCACGCCAACAUUAUACACCAAAGAAACAAAAAUUACAAACAGUAUAUAUAUUUUACAAAUGUAGCAAUAACUUAUUUCUUAACAUGCAUAACAUGCAAUAAAAAGUACAUUAGUAGAGAUACACAAGCUUUGAAAUGUUCCAUACUGGAGAAAGGGCAAAGGGAUUUGAUGUUCUAUGUAUGCCAACAACUUAGAAUGGAAAUUCACAACUUGUUCAACGUUAUUUGUAGCAGCCUCCAUUUUGUCUUUUAUGAAGUUAAACUGUACACGAAAUAGGGGGCGAUUUAAUAUGGGAAAUCUAUUAAGAAUCAUUCCAACUUUGCUCGACGAUAGCAGAUACUCUCUUCUCAUAUUCUCGUUUAUUUUCCUGAUAAAGCUGAGCUGCUUGACUGUUGGCAGGGCUAUUCGGAUUCGGCUCAUCCAGCAGAGACUAAAAUGUAAAAUUUAGAUAUUGUAUUACAGGUUACCCAAACUUGUUUGAAAAAAAAAAAAAAAACACAUUAUAAAUAUGCAGGACAGAAUGUUCAUUAUGGGGAAGGAAAAUAUAAAGAAAAACAAUUAUAUCCUUGUAAAAGAGGCUGAGCUCAGGGAUUUGCUACAAGAACAGCCAAUUAUGUAACCAUUAGCUCCUUGUAACAGGUAUUUGAUGGCCUCACUGAGAAUGAGAGGUUCUGGGACAGGAUCAAACACCAAUUUACAUUUCCCCCUACACCUCAUUGUGACUAAGUGGCUACUAAAAAAGACUGGACAUACCCUGUUUGCAAUACCUUGGGUUGUCUCUAUUGCAAAUGGUAGGCCAUCAGAGGGGUAAUUUUCAUAGGUGUUGGGGGGAGCUAUAGAAACUGUAGACUAAUGCAUUUGAUGGGAUUUGCAUACUUCUGUUUUAGCACAGUGUGUGAUGGAAGUUCAGUUUGUGAGAAUUAAGAGUUUACAAUUCUUGUGGUUAAAAGUGUGUGAUGGAUCGUUACAUGUGCAAUAAGGAUGUGUCAUGGGAGUUUUAUAUUGUAUUUUAUGAAGUUAAACUGUACACGAAAUAGGGGGCGAUUUAAUAUGGGAAAUCUAUUAAGAAUCAUUCCAACUUUGCUCGAAAAUAGCGGAUACUCUUCUCAUAUUCUCGUUAAUUUUCCUGAUAAAGCUGAGCUUACAAUUCUUGUGGUUAAAAGUGUGUGAUGGAUCUUUACAUGUGCAAUAAGGAUGUGUCAUGGGAGUUUUACAUCUAUGAUAAAGGUUGUAUUUGUGUGAGGACUGACUGCAUGAUUGUUAUGGGGCUCUUUGUAUGGUUCUGUGUGUCUUCAGAAACUGUAGGCUGUUGAAAUGAAGUCAGAUGCUAGCAUCCUACAUUUUGAGCUGCAAAUGAGCUUUAAUGUUUAUUAUCUGUAAUGACAAGCACACUUAGUUAGCAAUACUCGCAUAUUAGUAGACAUUCUUAUACCUAAUUAGCCACAUACAUAACGGGCUACUCGCUCACACAUAUACUCAAAUAUAAACUUAUACUUGAAGGAACAUUCCAAACAUAUUUUGUUGCCAGGACUGUCCUGUCACCCCAAUUAACCCCUUAAGGACUGAGCCAAAUUUACACGUUGUGAACAAAACAAAAUGUAAACAAAACCUGGCAUUUGCGCUACAUGUCUGUCCAACCGUAAUUCACCUCUUUCAUAUUAAAUGCACCCACCCUUAUUAUAUAUCAUUUUAUUCAGGGGAAACAGGGCUUUCAUUUAAUAUCAAAUAUUUAGCUAUGAAACAAUAUGAAAAUUUUUUUUUUUUUUAGUUCUACAUGACAUUUUAACUGUCAAUGUCAUAAUACUGUUUAGUUUUACUGCAAUAAAAUACACAUAUCUGUAUUCAGCAAAGUCUCACGUGUAAAACAGUACCUCCUAUGUACAGGUUUUAUGGCGUUUUGGGAAGUUACAGGGUAAAAUAUAGCACAUUACAUUUGAAAUUUGCCAGAUUGGCUACGUUGCCUUUGGGACUGUAUAGUAGCCCAGGAAUGAAAUUUACACCCAUAAUGGCAUACCAUUUGCAAUAGUAGACAAUCCAAGGUAUUGCAAAUGGGAUACGUCCAGUCUUUUUUAGUAGCCAUUUGGCCUGAAAAUGAGGGAGUGGUGGCAGUUUAGAAAUCAUGUCCUGAUUUUUCAGCUUUUGCCAGCUCCCACUCUAGCUUUGCCAUUCAUUCAUAUGGGACAAAUUUCACCACAAGAACGACGAUAUUCCGUGAACCAUUCGGCGAAACGUUCCACAAAGUAAUAGCAAUCCGAUCGGGAACAAUCUGCACGUUUUGGUAAAUUUUUGUCUAUGUAGAGUAAAAACUGUGGGAGGAGUUAGGGUGGCAAAUUUGGCUAUAAUAAGAAUAAGAAUAAUAAUAUAUAUGUGAGAUAACAUUAAGUGGUCUUGCUAUGCAAGAACACUUAAUAUAUAUGUGAGAUAACAUUAAGUGUUCUUGCAAUGCAAGAACACUUUAAAAAUGAAACACAAGCCUUAUAUUUGACACUAACUUUUGAAAACACCAUAAAACCUGUACAUGAGGGGUACUGUUGUACUUGGGAGACUUCGCUGAACACAAAUAUUUGUGUUUCAAAACAGUAAAAAGUAUCACAGCAAUAAUAUCGUCCGUGUAAGUGCGGGUUGUGCAUGAAAAAUGCAAAAAACUUCACUUUUACUGGCGAUAUCGUCGUUGUAAUACAUUUUACAGUUUUGAAACACUAAUAUGUGUUUAGCGAAGUCUCCCGAAUAGAACAGUACCCCCCAUGUACAGGUUUUAUGGUGUCUUGGAAAGUUAUAGGGUUAAAUAGAGUGUUAGCAAAUUAAAUUCCCUUUACUUUCGGCAUGGGUUGUCAGGCAGGUCCCGCUAAUUGUAAUUAAUAAAGAUACCUAAUUAUGUAAAAAUAUUACAUAAAUAUAUAUAUUAGUGAUAUAUACGUAUAUAGAUAUAUAUUUCGUUCUAUGUGUAUUUUGAUAUAAAUAUAUAUUAAUAUCACAAUACUGUUAGAACGAAACACAUCUAUAUUUUUUAA